rnacentral:rRNA from 1 species
GAUGAACGCUGGCGGCGUGCCUAACACAUGCAAGUCGAAUGGAGUUUAUGAAGUUUUCGGAUGGAUUAAACUUAGUGGCGGACGGGUGAGUAACGCGAGGGUAACCUGCCUCAUACAGGGGGAUAACAGUUGGAAACGACUGCUAAAACCGCAUAACAUUGCGACACCGCAUGGUGAUGCAAUUAAAGAUUUAUAGGUAUGAGAUGGGCCCGCGUCUGAUUAGCUAGUUGGUGAGGUAAUGGCUCACCAAGGCGACGAUCAGUAGCCGGCUUGAGAGAGUGACCGGCCACAUUGGGACUGAGACACGGCCCAAACUCCUACGGGAGGCAGCAGUGGGGGAUAUUGCACAAUGGGGGAAACCCUGAUGCAGCGACGCCGCGUGAGUGAAGAAGUAUUUCGGUAUGUAAAGCUCUAUCAGCAGGGAAGAAAAUGACGGUACCUGACUAAGAAGCCCCGGCUAACUACGUGCCAGCCGCCGCAGUAA